CACAUGACUCUCGGCAACGGAUAUCUUGGCUCUCGCAUCGAUGAAGAACGUAGCAAAAUGCGAUACCUGAUGUGAAUUGCAGAAUCCCGUGAACCAUCGAGUUUUUGAACGCAAGUUGCGCCUGAGGCCUUUUGGCUGAGGGCACGUCUGCCUGGGCGUCACGC
rnacentral:rRNA from 2 species